GGCGGCACUAGCGCGGUGGUCCCACCUGACCCCAUGCCGAACUCAGAAGUGAAACGCCGUAGCGCCGAUGGUAGUGUGGGGUCUCCCCAUGUGAGAGUAGGGAACUGCCAGGC
rnacentral:rRNA from 6 species